CGUAGAUGGCGACCGGCGCACGGGUGAGUAACACGUAUCCAACCUGCCGAUAACUCGGGGAUAGCCUUUCGAAAGAAAGAUUAAUACCCGAUGGUAUAAUCAGACCGCAUGGUCUUGUUAUUAAAGAAUUUCGGUUAUCGAUGGGGAUGCGUUCCAUUAGGCAGUUGGUGAGGUAACGGCUCACCAAACCUUCGAUGGAUAGGGGUUCUGAGAGGAAGGUCCCCCACAUUGGAACUGAGACACGGUCCAA
rnacentral:rRNA from 1 species